rnacentral:sRNA from 1 species
CCCUAGCCCCGAUAGGAACGGCAUCUUUUUUUUGCGGUUGGGGAAUUGGCGGCGGAAAAAAAAGAUACAGUGGAUAGCGGGAUUAAGC